ensembl:snRNA U2 U2 spliceosomal RNA
AUCGCUUCCCGGCCUUUUGGCUAAGAUCAAAUGUAGUAUCUGUUCUUAUCAGUUUAAUAAAAAAUAAGAUCAAUAAAGUAGAUGAGUGAAUGGGCAGGUGAGGAGACUUGUA